rnacentral:rRNA from 1 species
CAGUCGCCGCGGGAAUACGGAGGGGGCUAGCGUUGUUCGGAAUUACUGGGCGUAAAGCGCACGUAGGCGGCUUGGUAAGUUAGAGGUGAAAGCCUGGAGCUCAACUCCAGAAUUGCCUUUAAGACUGCCGAGCUAGCAGGUGAGAGAGGUAAGUGGAAUUCCGAGUGUAGAGGUGAAAUUCGUAGAUAUUCGGAAGAACACCAGUGGCGAAGGCGGCUUACUGGCUCAUACUGGACGCUGAGGUGCGAAAGCGUGGGGAGCAAACAGGAUUAGAUACCCCCGUAGUCCCUGUCUCUUAUAC